rnacentral:tRNA from 1 species
GCCCGCGUAGCUCAGUUGGUAGAGCAACCCCAUGGUAAGGGGUAGGUCAGCAGUUCGAAUCUGCUCGCGGGCU